UACGUAGGGUGCGAGCGUUGUCCGGAAUUAUUGGGCGUAAAGAGCUCGUAGGCGGUUUGUUGCGUCGGCUGUGAAAACCUGCGGCUUAACUGUGGGCUUGCAGUCGAUACGGGCAGACUUGAGUUCGGCAGGGGAGACUGGAAUUCCUGGUGUAGCGGUGAAAUGCGCAGAUAUCAGGAGGAACACCGGUGGCGAAGGCGGGUCACUGGCUCGAUACUGACGCUGGAGGUGCGAAAGCGUGGGGAGCAAACAGG
rnacentral:rRNA from 1 species